UCCUUUUGCCUCACUUAAGAUUUGUGCGUUGUUCAUUUUUUUCAACAAUCACAUGUUGUAGAUAUGUGGAGCAAUGACAGCUUUGUAUCUGAGUAAACAGCUGUAGUUUGCUUUACCUGCAGAGUCUGGUGCGUAUCACUGACGAACUCAUGCGAACGGCGGAACUGUGAGAGAUUGUGUGUGUACAGCUACAAAGUGCAAGUCCAAUUCUUCACAUCUCUUUGAUUCAGGAUUUGAUUGGGAAUGAUGAAAGCAAUGGUGAAGCAAAUUCUUUUAACUAUGCGCAGCCUGCUAGUAGAUAAGCUUGGCUCAGCUACAGUUGUCUUUCAUAUAAAGGAUAGCAGUUAUGUUUUCACGUUCGACUGCACUGUUUUUCAAAGUUCCUUGUUUUUUGCAUGACCGCGUAUCUUUCUUAAAUGUCACAUGGACGCGAUGUGACUCUAGAUUAAUAAAACAUGACUGUUUUACAGUAUCCACACACAACCAUGGAUAGCCUCACACAUGUGUAAAGUUACUGGUGUCUCUACAACACUGAAGAGCCAGGCAUAAACCGGAAGACGUCGCUUGGGUCUGCCAGUGAUUAGGCUGCUUCCGCAUGUAACCAUCUAUACUGCAUGAGAAACUGCGGGAUGACGGUUGCGAAGUGGCGUAGCAAUCACGUGAUUAUUAUUAUGACCAUUAUUGUCUUAUUAUGCGUCUUAUCCGUGUCACCCUAUAUUGUUAAUAAUUAGCCUAUUUAUGUUGCAAUAUCAUAUUUUGUACUAUUAGAAAGAGCGUUUCUUACAGUGCAUGUAACAUCACUGUACUUGGUUUGUGUUCAAUAAACAAGAGUUCGUUGGUACGA